GUUCGAUCUCAAAUCAGGUAGGACUACCCGCUGAACUUAAGC
rnacentral:rRNA from 8 species